rnacentral:miRNA from 1 species
UCUUGUGUGUGUGACCCCUCACCUCCCGCAGGCCGUGCUGCACAUGGAGCAGCGAAAGCAGCAGCAGCAGCAGCAGCAGCAGCAGCAGCA